AAUUCAAUGCUUAUUCUCAUUUGUAACCUUCAGGGUUUGACCGUGUCUGUGCAAAUCCUGGGCGAUCACUGUUGAAACGACACCAGGCAUCGAACCUGCAGCAGGACGGGCAGCCAGUGACUUGCAGUAUGAGCACUACCAUGGCCAGCUUUCAUCACGUACAACCUGGGCAGUCACUCCUGAAAGAACACUGGACAGUUCAUGCACCCAACAUGAAGCUAAAUACGCAGCCAGCAACUCGUGCUCCGAGAAAAACUGGUGAGUGCUAACAAGACUGCUAGAUGUGCUAUGUUUUGCUUUAGUUAUGCUGCAAAUAUAUAUUGCAUAAGUGCCUAUGCAACUUUUAGAGGUAAUUCUUCCAGAAAUACUGCCUGGCCAAUCGAUACUACGACAACAGCAAGUAAUUUGUGUGCAAAGUCCAAAGCAGGACACUCAGCCACCUGUUAGCACUUCAGGCAAACAUGGGCUUAAAGUUGGUCCUGGCCAGUCACUGCUAAAGCGCAAGCAAAAAGCUUGUGACCUAAAGCCAAGGAAGGAUUCAAAGUCAAUUGUUACUGGUGCGAUCACAAGAG